rnacentral:SRP_RNA from 1 species
GCCAAGUGUGGUGGCACGCGUCUAUAGUCCCAACUACUCGGGAGGCUGAGGCAAAAGGAGUCAGGAAUAUCAGGCUGUAGUGAACUAUGCCAAUCAGGUGUCCACACUAAGUUCAGCAUUAAUCUGGUGAAAUCCUGGGAGCAGGGUAUCACCAGGUUAGCUAAAAAGGAGGGAAUUUGCCCAGUUUGGAAAUUAAGUAUGUCAAAACUCCCAUCCUGAUCAGUAGUGGGAUUGUGCCUGCAUAUAGCCACUGCACUCCAACCUAGGCAACACAGCGAGACCUGGUCUAU